rnacentral:rRNA from 1 species
UGGGGAAUAUUGCACAAUGGGCGCAAGCCUGAUGCAGCCAUGCCGCGUGUGUGAAGAAGGCCUUCGGGUUGUAAAGCACUUUCAGCGGGGAGGAAGGCGUUAAGGUUAAUAACCUGGGCGAUUGACGUUACCCGCAGAAGAAGCACCGGCUAACUCCGUGCCAGCAGCCGCGGUAAUACGGAGGGUGCAAGCGUUAAUCGGAAUUACUGGGCGUAAAGCGCACGCAGGCGGUCUGUCAAGUCGGAUGUGAAAUCCACGGGCUCAACCUGGGAAAUGCAUUCGAAACUGGCAGGCUAGAGUCUCGUAGAGGGGGGUAGAAUUCCAGGUGUAGCGGUGAAAUGCGUAGAGAUCUGGAGGAAGACCGGUGGCGAAGGCGGCCCCCUGGACGAAGACUGACGCUCAGGUGCGAAAGAGUGGGGAGCAAACAGG